rnacentral:rRNA from 1 species
GUGAGGAAUUUUCCGCAAUGGAGGCAACUCUGACGCAGCCAUGCCGCGUGCAGGAAGAAGGCGCUACGCGUUGUAAACUGCUUUUAACCGGGAAGAAACCCCAGGACGUGUCCUGGGUUGACGGUACCGGAGGAAUAAGCACCGGCUAACUUCGUGCCAGCAGCCGCGGUAAUACGAAGGGUGCAAGCGUUAUCUGGAUUCAUUGGGUUUAAAGGGUGCGUAGGCGGAGCGUUAAGUCAGUGGUGAAAUCCUGCAGCUUAACUGUAGACUUGCCAUUGAUACUGGCGCUCUUGAGUGCGCUUGAAGUGGGCGGAAUGUGCCGUGUAGCGGUGAAAUGCUUAGAUAUGGCACAGAACACCAAUUGCGAAGGCAGCUCACUAAGGCGAUACUGACGCUGAGGCACGAAAGCGUGGGGAUCGAACAGGAUUAGAAACCCGAGUAGUCC